GAUAUUCUUCAAAUAACCUUUUAAAUGUUUUCAUUCUCAUUACGUUACCCUCUUUAUUGUCGAUUCAGGUGUCGUCUUUUUUCUUUCUUACCGAUGGAUUGUAACAGUAGUUGUUACCUCAAGAUGAAAUCAGUGUAACGGCGCUCUAAAGUGCUUUUUUUUUUAGUAUCAUGCUUUCAGUAACAUCAUUUCGUCAGCUAUGAGACGGACAGUUUCUGUUAUCUCUACACAAGCCUUUAUAAACAAUAUUCCAGUAAUCUCUCAAGAGCCAUUUAUAAGGUGUUCUGACAAUAUUCCAAUUUCCUAUGGUCAAUCAGAGUGAAUACAUCAAAAGGCAAAACAUUGAAGUUGUCCGAGACCUACGUCCGUCAUUUAAGUUUUCUUAAUUUGAUGUUUUUAUAAAAAUAGCAAAACACUUAUAUUUAUGCCUACAAAAAAUGAGAACAUUAACGUAUGACUGACGACGGGAAUGUCGAAGGAAACUUAGGUAACACACGAAAGUUUAAAGUAGAGAAAGGCUAAAGCUUAAUAGAUUAGAUUAUUAAAUUAGCGGUGACUUUAGACAGAGUUGGUUUCAAUUCUGGUCGUUGUACGUGAGAUCUCCGAUUCUCUGUGGGCUAACCAAUCUGGUAGAAAAGGAUAUCGGUAUUUUGGACAUCGUUCUGCAAAACCAGCUAGAGAAAUGACAGUGCAUAGCAGUAUCAUUAAAUAUGGGCUACGGUAUUAUUGUAGG